CGGAUCUGGUAGUGGGACAGUCUACACUACGCUCCUCUCUGGAGAGAUGUCUUUAUUUGAACAAAACCUUUACAUGUUCUCACGUUUACUGUAAAAAAAAGGUUGAAAAUAUAAUCCGGCUAUUUUUAUAAAAUUGUGUAAAAUAUUUACAGGAAAUCUACACACCACUCAGUGCGUCACACAAAGCACUGUGUGCCGUGUCCAUAGAAGAAGAAGCCAUGUUCUGAUCAAUCUUGUAAGUUAUAUUCGAAAUAAUAAUCGAUUGUACAUGUAUAUGAGUGUUGGUUGAAGAUGUCUGCCACCCACAUGUCGAACGAAGGGUUUCAAAUUCAGUUCGCCUCUGUUAUGGAGAGUGUAUUGAAUACUGCAGUCACCGAGACAAUGAAACUUUUCGAAACAACUAUUGAGGAACUGCGAGCCGAAAUAUCCAGAAUAAAAAAAGAGAACAAGGACCUCAAAUCGAGGCAUCGAUCCCAUGAAAUAACGAAGAGAUGGACCGGUGAAAGUGAACGCCAAAACCACAGAGCCCAGACCGAGUCAAAGUGCAACACGUAUCGGAAAAUGUGACAUCGGCGUUCAAUGCGUUCUGACAAAGCAGGCUUUACCUCGGGCUGGGGAGCAGCACCUGCGGGAGGAGGACCAGGAGACUGAGCUGCACUGUGGAGCGUAUGACGAGGAGGGCAACCCACAGAUGGCCUUUGUUCUGAUCAAACAGGAGGUGGACUGGAGGCAGACUAUUCUGAUGACUACUCCCCUGGGUACAUACUGCUGAAGAAGGAAGGGGCAGGCCCCCGACUCUGGUCCGCAGACAACCUCUCAGAGAAUUACCAGGCAGAGCCCUGGUCCCACCUGGAGCCGUCAGGGCCCUGAUCAACCGUUACACCCAGGAAAGGCCUCCCACCACCCAGUCUUCCAGGGAGAUCCAGACACCCAGGAGGCCCCCCAGGCUCUCAGCCCAUCCCAGCCCAGGACCAGAGAGUUUACCAGUGGCAGAGAGUUUACCAGUGGCAGAGAGUUUACCAGUGGCAGAGAGUUUACCAGUGGCAGUGCAGGCCAGGCCCCUGGAGCAGGACAGCAGUCACUGGUAAUACCAGCAGCAGAGUCUCCAUCAACAUUACACCAGACAGCAUCUCCUCAAUCAGCAGCCACUAUCCAGUCUACAUCAUCUGUCCUGUCUGCUGUAUUGGUCCAGUCCACGGUAACUACUCUGUCAAAGAAACUGUCCAGUCGACCGUAACGGUGAAGUCGACAGCAGCAUCGUCAGAGCGCCUUCCACCUGUCCUCUCCGGGUUACCCAGAACCCCUCUUCAGGAUACACAGCCCCGUACCCCCUCGUCCACCCCAAUCAUCACCAUCGCAGUCCUUCACAGACGUUCUACCUGUAGCUCGUCCAAUAGCAGUGCCCUCAACACAACCAGCUAGGCCUACAGGACCACCGGCCGCACCACCAACACAACCGCAACCGCCUACAGUUUUGGAGCAGUUGGGUGUUGCCACAGCAACAUCACUAACACCAUCGGUCCAGCUUUAAUUUUAUUCUAGGGUUUAACUUAUUCAGUGCUGUUGAACGUUUAAACCAGACAUUUUUUUAUUUCACCUUUAUUUAACCAGGUAGGCUAGUUGAGAACAAGUUCUCAUUUACAACUGCGACCUGGCCAAGAUAAAGCGUAGCAAUUCGACACAUGGAAUAAACAAAACAUAGUCAAUAAUACAGUAGAACAAAAGAAAACAAAAAGUCUAUAUACAGUGGGUGCAAAUGAGGUAAGUUAAGGAAAUAAAUAGGCCAUGGUGGCGAAGUAAUUACAAUAUAGCAAUUAAACACUGGAGUGGUAGAUCGGCAGAAGAUGAAUGUGCAGGUACAGACACUGGGGUGCAAAGGAGCAAAAUAAAUAAAUAAAUACCAGUAUGGGGAUGAGGUAGGACAUAACUUUCAUUUUUCAGAGCUAUUAGAUAUGCUUGGGAGGGUGCACUGUCUCAACGUCCAGGCACAUGUUGGGCCCAACACUAUCAGUCAUUUGAAAGUUUAAACCGUCUAAGAUAGGCACCCUAUGACAUUGCAAUAUCAGAUUUGCUACUUAUACUGAAAAUAAAUCUGUCUCAUCUCUCUGGGUCAGUUAGCAAGAACCAAUUAAAGUUCAUAUUUUGGUUUGGCUAUUGUGCUUCUAUGUUGGAAAUGUAUUAUUUCUCAUAUCAACUAAUGGCAGUUGGACAUCUACAGUGUUUUCAGAAAGUAUUCAUACCCCUUGACUUAUUCCACAUUUUGUUGUGUUAAAGCCUAAAUAUCUCAUUUACAUAAGUAUUCACACCCCUGAGUCAAUACAUUAUUAUAAUCACCUUUGGCAGUGAUUACAACUGUGAGUCUUUCUGGGUAAGUCUCUAAGAGCUUCGCACAGCUGGAUUGUACAAUAUUUAUAUAUUAUAUUUUACAAUUCUUCAAGCUCUGUCAAGCUGAUUGUUGAUCAUUGCUAGACAGCCAUUUUCAAGUCUUGCCAUAGAUUUUCAUGUAGAUUUAAGAACAUUCAAUGUCGUCUUGGUAAGCAACUCCAGUGUGUUUUAGGUUAUUGUCCUGCUGAAAGCAGAAUUUUUCUCCCAGUGUCUGUUGGAAAGCAGAAAACUAGGUUUUUCUCUAGGAUUUUGCCUGUGUUUAGCUCUAUUCCAUUUAUUUCUAUCCUAAAAAACUCCCAAGUCCUUGCCGAUGACGAGCAUACCCAUAACGUGAUGAAGCUACCACCAUGCUUGAAAAUAUGAAGAGUGGUACUCAGUGAUGAGUUGUUUCGGGAUUUGCCCCAAACAUAGGGCUUUGUAUUCAGGACAAAUACAGUUUUGUAAUAUUUGUUUCUUUACAGGUUUCCUUUUCACUCUGUCAUUUAGGUUAGUAUUGUGGAGUAACUACAACGUUGUUGAUCUAUCCUCAGUUUUCUCCUUUCACAGCCAUUAAACUAUGUAACUGUUUUAAAGUCA